rnacentral:rRNA from 1 species
UACGGAGGAUGCAAGCGUUAUCCGGAUUUAUUGGGUUUAAAGGGUGCGCAGGCGGGAAAUUAAGUCGGCGGUGAAAUUUUGCAGCUCAACUGUAAAAGUGCCUUCGAAACUGGUUUCCUUGAGUGUAGACGAAGUAGGCGGAAUUUGUGGUGUAGCGGUGAAAUGCAUAGAUAUCACGAGGAACUCCGAUUGCGCAGGCAGCUUACUAAACUACUACUGACGCUCAGGCACGAAGGCGUGGGGAUCAAACAGGAUUAGAUACCCGGGUAGUCCCU